UGGGGGAUCUUGCACAAUGGGGGAAACCCUGAUGCAGCGACGCCGCGUGAGCGAUGAAGCCCCUCGGGGCGUAAAGCUCUUUCGGCCCGAACGAUAAUGACGGUACGGGAAGAAGAAGCUGCGGCUAACUACGUGCCAGCAGCCGCGGUAAUACGUAGGCAGCAAGCGUUGUUCGGAGUUACUGGGCGUAAAGAGUGCGUAGGCGGUGUCGAAAGUUUGGCGUGAAAUCUCCCGGCUUAACUGGGAGGGUGCGCCGAAAACUGCGAUGCUGGAGUGUGGGAAAGGCAAGCGGAAUUCCUGGUGUAGCGGUGAAAUGCGUAGAUAUCAGGAGGAACACCGGCGGUGUAGACGGCUUGCUAGACCAUAACUGACGCUGAGGCACGAAAGCGUGGGUAGCAAAACAGGAUUAGAUACCCUGGUAGUCCACGCCCUAAACGAUGCAUACUUGGUGUGGGCAGUUCAUUCUGUCCGUGCCCGGAGCUAACGCGUUAAGUAUGCCGCCUGGGGAGUACGGUC
rnacentral:rRNA from 1 species